rnacentral:rRNA from 1 species
GAUCAUGGCUCAGGACGAACGCUGGCGGCGCGCCUAACACAUGCAAGUCGAACGAGAGACGAGGAGCUUGCUCUUCAAAUCGAGUGGCGAACGGGUGAGUAACGCGUGAGGAACCUGCCUCAAAGAGGGGGACAACAGUUGGAAACGACUGCUAAUACCGCAUAAGCCCACGGCUCGGCAUCGAGCAGGGGGAAAAGGAGCAAUCCGCUUUGAGAUGGCCUCGCGUCCGAUUAG